GGCGGACGGGUGAGUAACACGUGAGAAUUUACCUUUAGGAGGGGGAUAACAAUUGGAAACGAUUGCUAAUACCCCAUAUGCUUUUGAGUGAAAUGGAUUUUAUAUUUAUCCGCCUAGAGAGAAGCUCGCGGCUGAUUAGCUUGUUGGUAAGGUAAGAGCUUACCAAGGCGACGAUCAGUAUCUGGUUUGAGAGGACGAUCAGACACACUGGAACUGAGACACGGUCCAG
rnacentral:rRNA from 1 species